GGCUCGGUAGCGGAGCGUCCGCGUCUGCUUCAAAUAAAACAUUCCCGCUCGACUGAUGCAGAUCCCGCCUGUUCAACUCAGGCCCGAGCUA